AUUGAACGCUGGCGGCAGGCCUAACACAUGCAAGUCGAGCGGUAGCACAGAGAGCUUGCUCUCGGGUGACGAGCGGCGGACGGGUGAGUAAUGUCUGGGAAACUGCCCGAUGGAGGGGGAUAACUACUGGAAACGGUAGCUAAUACCGCAUAACGUCGCAAGACCAAAGAGGGGGACCUUCGGGCCUCUUGCCAUCGGAUGUGCCCAGAUGGGAUUAGCUAGUAGGUGGGGUAACGGCUCACCUAGGCGACGAUCCCUAGCUGGUCUGAGAGGAUGACCAGCCACACUGGAACUGAGACACGGUCCAGACUCCUACGGGAGGCAGCAGUGGGGAAUAUUGCACAAUGGGCGCAAGCCUGAUGCAGCCAUGCCGCGUGUAUGAAGAAGGCCUUCGGGUUGUAAAGUACUUUCAGCGGGGAGGAAGGCGAUAAGGUUAAUAACCUUGUCGAUUGACGUUACCCGCAGAAGAAGCACCGGCUAACUCCGUGCCAGCAGCCGCGGUAA
rnacentral:rRNA from 1 species